GAGGGCAGCAGAGGGAGGUGGAAUUCCCGGUGUAGCGGUGUAAUGCGUAGAGAUCGGGAGGAACACCAGUGGCGAAGGCGGCCUCCUGGGCUGCUUCUGACGCUGAAUGCGAAAGCUAGGGUAGCGAACGGGAUUAGAAACCCCGGUAGUCCUAGCUGUAAACGAUGGAUGCUAGGUGUAGGAGGUAUAGAUCCCUUUUGUGCCGAAGCUAACGCGAUAAGCAUCCCGCCUGGGGACUACGGCCGCAAGGCUAAAACUCAAACGAAUUGACGGGGGCCGGCACAAGCAGCGGAGCGUGUGGUUUAAUUCGAUGCUACACGAAGAACCUUACCUGGGUUUGACAUGUAGGUAGUAGUGAAGCGAAAGCGGAACGAACCUUCGGGGAGCCUACACAGGUGCUGCAUGGCUGUCGUCAGCUCGUGCCGUGAGGUGUCGGGUUAAGUCCCGUAACGAGCGCAACCCCUGUCCUUAGUUACAAGUGUCUAAGGAGACUGCCGGCGACAAGCCGGAGGAAGGUGGGGAUGACGUCAAGUCAGCAUGGCCUUCUAUGUUCAGGGCGUACACACCCGCUACAAUGGCCGGUACAAUGGGUUGCCAAGACCGUGAGGCGGAGCUAAUCCCCCAAAACCGGUCUCAGUUCGGAUUGUGGGCUGCAACUCGCC
rnacentral:rRNA from 1 species